rnacentral:rRNA from 1 species
CCUACGGGAGGCAGCAGUGAGGAAUAUUGGUCAAUGGACGAGAGUCUGAACCAGCCAAGUAGCGUGAAGGAUGACUGCCCUAUGGGUUGUAAACUUCUUUUAUAUGGGAAUAAAAUGUUCCACGUGUGGGAUUUUGUAUGUACCAUAUGAAUAAGGAUCGGAUAACUCCGUGCCAGCAGCCGCGGUAAUACGGAGGAUCCGAGCGUUAUCCGGAUUUAUUGGGUUUAAAGGGAGCGUAGGUGGAUUGUUAAGUCAGUUGUGAAAGUUUGCGGCUCAACCGUAAAAUUGCAGUUGAAACUGGCAGUCUUGAGUACAGUAGAGGUGGGCGGAAUGCGUGGUGUAGCGGUGAAAUGCUUAGAUAUCACGAAGAACUCCGAUUGCGAAGGCAGUUCACUGGACUGCAACUGACACUGAGGCUCGAAAGUGUGGGUAUCAAACAGGAUUAGAUACCCCAGUAGUC